AAAUAAAUCGUGAUGCUGUGAAGGGAGAUCUUCAGACAGUGGUAGGAAAAAGCAAGUGGUAGAAAUACAGUUUCUUGCACCGUCUUCUGCAUCACUGCUGAAAAAAAUGUGGUUCUGCCUGUGGCCCUCAAAGGAAGGAAGUUGCCAGCACAACGUGUGUGUGCAUCCAGAAAUCUCAAAAUCGGCGAAAGCUAACAUGCCCAAUGUCUGCUAAAUGGACACAGGGAGAUGCUUGGCUGGUUCCUGACUUGAAGGAUAAAUACACGCUGAGAUGAAACUGACUUCCCGG
rnacentral:lncRNA from 1 species